rnacentral:rRNA from 1 species
GAGCGGACAGAUGGGAGCUUGCUCCCUGAUGUUAGCGGCGGACGGGUGAGUAACACGUGGGUAACCUGCCUGUAAGACUGGGAUAACUCCGGGAAACCGGGGCUAAUACCGGAUGGUUGUUUGAACCGCAUGGUUCAGACAUAAAAGGUGGCUUCGGCUACCACUUACAGAUGGACCCGCGGCGCAUUAGCUAGUUGGUGAGGUAACGGCUCACCAAGGCGACGAUGCGUAGCCGACCUGAGAGGGUGAUCGGCCACACUGGGACUGAGACACGGCCCAGACUCCUACGGGAGGCAGCAGUAGGGAAUCUUCCGCAAUGGACGAAAGUCUGACGGAGCAACGCCGCGUGAGUGAUGAAGGUUUUCGGAUCGUAAAGCUCUGUUGUUAGGGAAGAACAAGUGCCGUUCAAAUAGGGCGGCACCUUGACGGUACCUAACCAGAAAGCCACGGCUAACUACGUGCCAGCAGCCGCGGUAAUACGUAGGUGGCAAGCGUUGUCCGGAAUUAUUGGGCGUAAAGGGCUCGCAGGCGGUAUCUUAAGUCGGAUGUGAAAGCCCCCGGCUCAAC